UACAGAGGUCCCAAGCGUUGUUCGGAUUCACUGGGCGUAAAGGGUGCGUAGGUGGUGGGGUAAGUCGGAUGUGAAAUCUCCGAGCUCAACUCGGAAAUGGCAUUGGAUACUACUCUGCUCGAGGGUUGGAGGGGGGACUGGAAUGCUUGGUGUAGCAGUGAAAUGCAUAGAUAUCAAGCGGAACACCAGUGGCGAAGGCGAGUCCCUGGACAACUCCUGACACUGAGGCACGAAAGCUAGGGGAGCAAACGGG
rnacentral:rRNA from 1 species